rnacentral:lncRNA from 1 species
CUGGGCCUAUGGCUUUUUCAAUUUCCCAGUAUACAGGCCUGCUUUUGAAUGUCUUCAUUUCCCAGAGUCUCACUCCAGCUUCUCCUCUGGGUCUUAGAUGAUCUAUUGUGUAGCUCCACCUGUAAUGUCUCGCCACAGGUGUCUGUGGAGCUUUUUAAAGCAGACUCCCAUGCCUGCGACCCUAGGUUAAAGAGGGAGAUUAGCCCUCCAGGCAGCCCCACAAAGAUGUUAAAACAUUGCAAAUAAGGUCUGAUCUGCUCCUUCUGUUCUAAAGGAGGAUAUUGGGCAUGGGCUGCUGCAUCUCCCUGUGCCACACCAGGGAAAGUGUGGGUCAAGGGUCUGACUGUUUACUAUGUGCUUCCCACAACUUUUGCUGCCUUGGACCCAGUUCUGACUUGGCUGUUUGAGGGGAAGCAGUUGGUGAGUCAAGCAGACACUGUCAGCUGACUUAAUUGGCACCAGAGCUUCACCAACGUGAAGACGGACUCCUUGUGGAGGCACCAGCUGCCCUGCAGAGGUGGAGGAACUGAUGCUGUUGCCUUGUAAUGCUUGUUCUGAUGCCUGCUGCCACAUGUUCAAUCCCUAUCAUCACCUUCAGUGCCUGUGUCAAACAUGACCUCCUCCAGGUAGCCUCUCAGACUCUUGGGUUAGAAGUCUUUCCCCUCUGAACUCCCAUGGCAUUUUAUCUGUUCUUCUUCUACAAAACUUACUGCUGGCUACUUUCCGUUAGAGGUCUCUGUGCUCACAUCUUAUUCCUUUAUUAGACUGUAAGCUCCCUGUGGGCAGAAACUAGGUCUUAAUCAUACUGUGUCCUUAGAUCCUGGCAUAAUGUCAGUAGGUAAAUAUGUGUGGACCUGAAUUGAAUCAGCUGGUCAUCUGAUUUUAUAAACAAGAGGGGAAAUCUGGAUCGUAUAUGUAUGAUCUAUUUGAAACCACAGGUUCAUGGAAAUCUAACAGGUCUUUGGAAAUUAUCUAGAGGCCUCCUCAUUUUAUCGUUGUGAAACUGAAGCAUAGACUUCAAUGCCUUCUCAUGGUCACGUGUCUGGAGAAUCAUAUCUUGCACUUGGACUCAGGUUCCUGGACCUCCAUCCCAGGUGUCCUGCCCUGACAAAUGAGUGAGCGAGUGAGUGAGCAGACACGCCUUGGAAAGGGCCAGUAGGUCAUUCCCAGAACCACAGCUGGCUUUGGGAGUCAGCUUGCCCCUCACUCACUCACCCAGGAUGAUUUUGAAGUCAGAAGGGCUGAGCAAGUCUGAAUCACGUAGGGUCGGAUCUUCCGGAUCGAGUGACUGGUGGAGGCAGUGUGCGGCGGUCACGAUCCAGCUGGAGCCUGGGGAACAGAACACACGUCUCAUCGUCCUGCACUACUGGGUCUUGCCUCCCUCUGUCUUGAGCUGAGGAUCUUCAGGCUACUCCAGAGGACCCCUCAAGACCUUGAAAAUGGCCAUGCUUCUCUCCAUUGUAUUUUAUGGCCCCCAACUCAAAUGCUCAUAUGAUCCUAAUCUGAAGAUGAGGAUUUAAAUCUGUGAUUUUUACCUGCCUAUUCCAACCAAGGCCAGGACUGAACAUUGUAAACAGGAUUUCAGGGAUCCUUUAAGCCCAUGGCAUUGGUGAGAGCCAGAGAGCCCAAGGUGGGUGCACAGAAAGCCUGUGGUCAACUGGCUGCCUUCUCAGGCCUUGCUUCUCAAAGUGUGGUGCCUGGACCAGCAACAUUAGCAUCACUUGGAGGCUUCUUAGAAAUGAAGACUCUUAGGCCGGCCCCACCUCUGAUCCACUGAAUCAGAAUUUUCAUUUUAACAAGACUCUCCAGUAAUUUGUAUGCAUAUUAAAGUUUAAAAUUGAUGAAUCCGAAGCUACCUACACUGGCUGCACGUUAGAAUUACCUGGUGAAUGAAAAAAGAGUAAAUCAGUGUCUGGACCUAUAUCUAGACCAUUUAUGUCAUGGGGGUGGAGCCCAAGCACAGAUAAUGUUUUAAACAUUUCCUUAGUUAAUUCUACUGCU